rnacentral:rRNA from 1 species
UACAGGGGGGGCAAGCGUUGUUCGGAAUCACUGGGCGUAAAGGGCGUGUAGGCGGUCAGGUUAGUGAGAUGUGAAACGCCCCGGCUCACCCGGGGACCUGCAUCUCAAACUGCCUGGCUUGAGUAUGGGAGAGGAUGAGGGAAUUCCUGGUGUAGCGGUGAAAUGCGUAGAUAUCAGGAGGAACACCGGUGGCGAAAGCGCUCAUCUGGCCCAAUACUGACGCUGAGGCGCGAAAGCUAGGGGAGCAAACGGG